rnacentral:lncRNA from 1 species
CUUUCCCUUCUUCUCAGCUUCAUCCCAUUGCUCGUUCAAUCUCAGGGUAACAACAACAACAACAACAACUAUCGUGUCUCACAAACUUAUCAUUUACCACCUCCACCGCACGCUCAUCGUAACCAUUUGGCACCCAAGAGAAGUUCCCAUCAUUCCAAUUCCAUUCAGCCUGCAACGGAUCACAGGGGGCAUAGAAAUGGGGAGAAGCAUAACAAAGAAAAACACACUGUGGGAAAGCAGGUCGGCUUCUGCUUUUUACUUGUGGCUGCUGCAUUGCAAGUUUGCGCCGCAGCGUUCUUGAUAUCUAAGCGUCGCCAAUUGUUCAAGGAUCAAGACAUUUUUUCCUGAACAUUUCCCUAUUCAAUCGGAUGGAUUUGGACCGUGGAGAUGAGUUGUAUUAUGUGCUGUGUUUCACUCUAUAUGGAUUACACACAUUCGGGUUGUGCAAAUGUACAUUGGUAAACCUUGUUUAACAUUCCUUCAUCAUGUCGCGAUUUAUAAAUAUGCAAUAUGUUGUCUACUUGACUCAGGUUAACAGAUUAUUAUAGCGGAAGGGAACGAUCAUUUUCACCCUAUUAGUAUUAUGAUGUUAGGGAAUCAUUAAUUAGAAGAGAAUCCUUGUAAAGCUUUUUUUGUGUUCUAGAGACGGAGGCUCCGGCUUCCCUUGUGUGAGUCCUGUAGGAAGUAAUCUUGAUAGGAUGAACAUUGCGGUAUAAAAAAAAUCAUUAAAUUUCAGUUUUCCAAGUGUUGUCUAUUGUCAACUUUAUAAACUAGUUAUAUACCUAAAUUUUGUUUUCCAUUAUUAAAGUUGAGACCUGGACUUGUCAUUUUAGUUGAGUUUAUGCGAUAUAAUCAACCUAAUUCAUUAGAAGGAUGCAUACUUUAAUCUCUGCAUGUAGAGAGAAUAUUGUCAAUGCAAUUAACUAGUGUAAUCAAGUUAUGAGCUUUGGGAUCAUAAUGGAACUCAGAAGCAACGAUUUAUUCUACACUUUGCCCUAGCUCAACUUGCAGUGGAUCAGGUUCUAGAUGAAAGAGUGUAACUGUUUGCCUGUGAUGUUNNNNNNNNNNUAACUGUUUGCCUGUGAUGUUGUUGUUGUCUUUUAGUGGUGAGGUUUAUUGGCAAUGGAGUGUAGAUACCUUCUUAGCUUUGAAAUUAUUCAUUUUGUGUUGGUUCUAAUGUUUAUUGACUAUUGAACCUUAAGGUAGGCAACUCUAACAGUAAAGUUUAAUUAAAAGUCAUUAAUUUGCGGAGAAGCCUUAGUGAAUUCAACAAGAUAACUCAAUAUGAUAAAUGCGUGUUCAAUGUGCAUUUCUCUUUUAAGGAAUGGGUAAAAUAUGUAAAUGUGAUUAAAAGUAAAAUUUAAGCUUAUCUGACAUGUCCACACGUAGAUUAUUUUGCAUAUUCUUUAUACCUCUGAUCUGCUGUAUAAUGGUGUUCUCGAAAAUCAUUAGACAGACUUGUGAAUUUGUUGGGGAAUUCUAAUAAUAUAGUUCUGCAGCUGGGAAUAGGCAAAGAAUUUCGGUAGAGUCACUCCUGCAUGAUUUUGUGAUGCAGGGCAUGAAAAGUCAUGUAUGGAUUAAAAACAGACAUGAAAAUUAAUAUCUGUCUAACAUGAAGAUCCAGUUUCUAAAGUAAGCA